ACCGCCCAUAGAAAAAGAAAAAAGAUCAAUGCAAGAAAACCAAAACCCACUCGUAGCCAAAGCCAGAAGAUAAGUACAAAAUACCAGUCGAAAAAACUUCGCCCUUCUUGUAAAAGACGAAAAUUUCAGAUGAUAGAACAGAGAAAAUCAACACUUUGAGACCAACCAUGGAGAAACAAAAGAAACCUCACCAAAAUCAAAGCAUUCUACAGCAAAAAUGAUGCCUUUGUGACCAAAACGCCCAAUCCUUUUCCACUAUCUUUAAUACCGAGUCAGGAACACCAUCGACCCAAACACCAAAAAACUGUCUUCUCCUACCUUCCAUAGCCAGAGUGUGGGUCGCUCCAUUCUUCUAACGGGGAACGAACAGUUUUUUUAUAACUGUCAUAGAGUCCCCUUAAACCACAAGACA